AGUGGUAGGAGAGAUUAAGUAGAGAUGGUGCUCUUCUCCAGCUAUGAGAUAGGUAGUCUUUGCCAGUUUAUGCCACCUCAAAUGCUGGAAGUGAAACCGUGCUGCUCUGCACUUAAGAGACCACAGUGGAGACUAGCAUGGCUGCAUUUGGCUUCUCAAAUUGAAAAGAAGAUGAUCUGAAGAGGAAGAGCCAGUUUGGUUCUUGGAUCCCUAGAGAAAGAGAGCCGACUACGCAAUUACGUUAACCAUGAUGUUUCAUAAUAUGCCAGACCAGUGCAACGUGGAAUCAGUGAAAGAGGCUCCCUAAACCUAACAGUGACCAACUAAGCGUUAGAGGUAGCCACUCACAAGAUGAAAAGGUCCUCUUCACAGGAGCUACAAUCCUCGCCAACUUCUUGAGAAUACAUUAACAUCUGCCUGAGAGAAGGGAGACAGAUUAAUUGAACAUACCUACAGUGAACCUCAAAGCAUUAUGAGAAGACAAGGAUUACAACUAAAAACUUCACAUCCAUUUCUUGGAGACCAAUCAGACUAACACUUGCCUCGAUAUCUGAGGCAACAGGGUAGUCUUUAUAUGGCACUGGGCUAGAAAGCAGGCUGUUUUCAGUUCUGCUACUGAUCAGUGGUGAACCAAUGGUGAGUCACAACCUCUGCUUUUCUUCCUGCCUUCCAUCUGCUCCAUCAGCUCACUGGCAGAGUGAUUGUAUGUGUGCAGAGUGCCCAGCAGCUCUCACACCAGUCAGCUACAGUGGAACCAGAAUCUCAAAGAGAUGAGCUGAAGCAGUGGGAAACGUUGACAAUUCUAAGACAAGAAGGAAAGUACAAAGGAGCAGUGUCCUCUUUAUCCCACAUCACACUGCUGUCCUAUCGGGACCAGGACCACCCAGAUGUCCAUUAUUACCUCUGGUCAUUGAGCCGUCGGUACUUCUCCUUGUCAGCAUUGUUAAUUUUCAGGAGUGGUUGCAGAUGCUCAUGGUGCGUCUUCACAUUCUGGUUGUCCACAUACACAUCAUAGAGAUCCCGUUUCUCCUCAAAGAUCUUUUCUGUUGUACCUGCCAAAAUCAGAGAAGAUUUUCAGAGCAGCAUGUUGCUGUCCCAACAGAACAACUGUUCUCUCCUGCUUUCGUAGUCAUUCCAUGCACGUCCUAUUUCUCAUCAGUUUUAUUCCACAGUCUGGUGUGUGUCUCAAGACAUUUUGCAGCCUGAAGUUAAAAACGUCACGCCUAAUCCAUCAUACUUACAGGCCACAUAUGAUACUUCUGUCUCCAGCAUUUCUAUGUCUGCCACAUUCACAUAGAAGAAUGGUUUGGACUCUGGGACAGUUCCUCCAAGACCAGGGAGAGAAACAUUGGCAAGGCAACAGCAGCAAUACACUGCGGACAAGAGAAGUACAUCCUGAGAUGCUUUCAGUAUACCCUCAAGGACAUUCUGAGCCCCACUUACCCAGUUCUCCCACACACUUCUAUGAAAACAACGGUUAGAGCUGUGAAAUGUCCCUGAACACCAGAACUUCUCAAGUGGGGACAUCCUGUUUUGGAUAGGAAAUAAUCGGUUCUCCCAUAGGAAUCCCAUGUUCUAGACGCCACAAAUUCAUUCAGCACUCCUGUUGUCCUGUGCUGACAGGAACUGUGUUUGACAAUGCCAGGUAUGUCCUUACCCAAAAGGCCUGAAGAAAAGCAUUUUGUAGGAAAUGGGUAAAUGCAGGCUGAACAGUAUCUUCUCAAGGAAUGGUUGCAGUGGAUUUUGAAGACCUGCAUGACGUCUAUCCCCCCUCAGUACCCACAGGCAUUUCUGCAGUGCUUCAGCCUACUAGAUCAGAGCACUGCGGUGUCCCUGGAAACAUACCUCUAUAGCAGACAACUCCAACUGGGGGCGGUGAAAAUAUCAAUAUGCGCUUGCGCAGCAGGGCAAACUUCCAGAGGACAAGGAUCUGCUCACCGAAGAAUUUGAUGAACUGAGACAUACAGCCAGCAGGGUGUGUGAUCUGCAGGUGGAGGGAAAGGGAAUUAAAAAGCUCAGAGGUGAAGCAGGGACACAUGCACAGAUGCUAAGUCUAAAUGUGGGAGCAAGACCAGCACACGGCAAUGACAGGGAACUGCAGCUUGUAACAGUCCAAGUAACAAAAUCUUAUCUAAAGCAGCCUACAAAGCGCUGGAGUGACUGCUUAUAUAAAGAAGUAUGAGACACCACCAAGGAGCAGCACCACGCUGCCCGCUCCUGCAAGCUUCAGAGCACCUGCCUCACCUUCAUCUCUGGGUACAUGUAUCUGUGGAUGGAUGGCAGCCAGUGGACAGGUUGCUGAGAGGUGGCAGUGCCCUUGCUAUCAGGGAGAACUCCUUUCUUGUCAUCAUAGAAUGCCUCUAGAUGAGAGUAGUGCCCUGGCAUCUCCAGCUGGUGUCUGGAAAAGAAAGGAAAAAAGAGAUCUGCAGUGUCUCCAGACUCUACUUAUUAAGUGCCUUGCCCCCAGCCAACAUCUGCUUUCCCAGCUAGCAAAGGAGCCCUGGGUGCCUCAGUUGCACAGACUUAUCCAGGAGCGCAGCUGAAGCGUCAGGAGUAACACCAGCUUUCAGUGCAGCCAGAGAACACGGGCAGGACUGAAGCAGACAGCAAGCUGAUGUAUCCAUAGUACUGAUCCUCUUUUAAAAUAUGCUCAGGUAGGAACAGCUUUCCAUUCUACCAUCACCAUUUUCCCUGCCAAGUCCACUCAACACAGCUAAAGCACACACCUAGCCAGGAUCACCAUCAUAGGUUUAGAAGCCUUUUUUGAGCCCUUAGUAAAAUGGUUUUCAGAAGGAGAAAAGGAGAACUUCUUGUCCUCUCAACUGCCCCUUUGACACUUAGGUCCACACAAAAUAAGUAGGAUUUGGAUAGCAUUUGACUAGCCUGUUAGCGAUGAACAGAGUGCUGCUAUCAGUUCCUUGUCUCCUUCCCGUUGUGAACCUGUAACUCUUUCUGGAGAAGUAGUUAUUCAAGGAAGUCGUAGCUCAGUGUUGUAGCCAAAUUCUCACUCACGCCUAAAACCGCUCUCCAUCAAGGCAACUUUACCUCUCCUAGGCAGGGAGUGGCCAGUCCCAUUCCCAAGGGAACUUACCUGACCUGGUUCUCCAGGAAGUGCAUGUACCUAUACAGCAGGGUGUAGGAAGGGGAGAGAAUCCCCACGGACUUCAUGCGGGCACCACGCUCUAACUCACUCUCCACAGGCAUGUUGGCAAAGCAGGCCAGGCCAAAACAGAGCCCCUUCCGGAAAUAACUGGAGACAAAUAUUUGACAGAAGGGUUAGUGUUAAAAAGAGCAAAAAGGAAGGAAGAAAGAAAGAAAGGUAACUGACCACAAAAAAAUAGUGAUUAGGGAACACAGUUCCUUCUUUAAGGAACCCCCUGAAAUCCCACCCUGCUAUCUGAAGGGCUGAGGACAGGCCUUGCGUGUCCUAGUCUUCUCAGGAACAAGACAGGACAUUUAAAGCAAGAGUUCCCAGGAGUUCCCACUAAAGCCCCUACCAGCCACGUCACUGGAAUGCAAGAAAGGAAAGAACUUGGAAGAAAGACCAACAGAGGAUGCAGGACCCAGCCAACACAGUGCCCUUCUUCCAAGGAAGAAAAGCCUGCAGUGCAUGAAGUUCUGAGUACAGUCUAGCUACCUAGUCAUAUUUUGGGUGCCAGCAUGUCGAAGCAUACUCUAGCUGAGUAAAAGGGUUCAAGUCAUGUGCCUUUGAGAAAGUAACUGUUAUUCCUGACCAAAAGGAAUUGUGACACUGCAAUUCAUUGCAAAACAUUGCUGCAUUGCAACACUGGGUUAGUAAAAGGAUGGGAACGCAGAAAAUUCCUAGCUUAUGUCUUUCCACUGAAGGAAGGAGCUAGCAAAGAAGAAAGUGAGCAAGGACUGUUUAUCACAACAUUUAAAGGAUCCAAAAGCACUUGCAGAAUUAAGAACCUUUUUCUAAGUCCAGUUCCUGCAAAAUCCUUCCCGUUUCAGUUCUGCCAUUCUUUCCCCUUCACCCUAGGCCUCUGCUGACAGUCCCAGUAGCGUCACUGCGGUAUGAUUUGCCCGAUACGCAUUAAAAUUUGCACACCAAGAAGCUGGCCUGCCCCAUUCACCAGCUGGCCUCCACAGCCAAAGCUGUCAUGCAGCAGAGACCCACAGCUAGCUGGUACUUGAUAUGAUGUUGAGAGUAACUGAAGAGUAUCUUUGGCUCAGCUAGAUAAAGUUUAGCAGCACGUUUAUGCAGGAACUCAAAUUCAUAGAUGGUAUUUUUCUUGCAUGUUCUGAGUUAAGGGACGGUGGUGUAGGUUUACAGCUUAGAGAAAGAAGUAAUAUAGCUCAGACAUACUCACAUGAAAUCUGACUGGAUUUUGUGGGACCCACUUGCCAUGGAUUUGAAUUCCACACCUUCUAAAUCAAUAUCUUGGGGUAAACACCACUCCACCAUGUUGCCUGCAGAGAAGCAAAUUUAUUUUAUUGGGUAAACUUGAACACAGUACUCAUUUCUAAAGCGCAAACACUAGCAACAGCAAGUUGUUGCUUUUACAUCACUGGGAUGCCAGUAACAGUGCACUAACGCAACUCCUGAACCCCUAAAUUGUCACAGACAGUAGCUGACAUACUAUACUCCACAUCUCUUGCAAAAGUUACUUGUUGCAGCACAACACCCUGAUAUUGCAGGACUUCUGGAGCCGUUUCUGAGGCUAGUGCUAUUUUGUGGGUUUAUCCUUUAUAAGCUGAAUCAUGUAGCAGCUACAAUUUUACCUGACAGUGGAUAAGCUAUGGUAUUAACGCUGUUCUACUCAGGCCGUCUACACGAGUACCCAAUAUAGAAAGAACCCAAAGUAUAGACUGCUGCUCUUUAGGAUGAGUUUCUGCAAUAGCUCAUACCACCAUCAAUAUUGUCCUUUGGCAGGGCUCGGCAGGGCUGGUCAAAGAGAAACCCCUAAGCCAGCACCCCAGUCAUCACUACUUCCCUGGAAUCCUCGUAUUUUGUUUAGGAUAGGAGGAGUUAGCUGAAGGUUUAUAUGGAGGCUGAGGUGAUCAAAGUACUGCAACAUGUUUGUGCAUGCUAGAAUAACCAAACAAAAAAGCACAAAAAUUACAAGCUAGAUCAAGAUUAGCAAACAUCUGUCACCUGCCAACCCAGCCAUAAAGCAUGCAGUUGUUCAGUGGAAAAGGCCACCUGAGGAGCCUGAUCCUGGAACAGAUGAUGUCAGAGAAGUCACAAAAAGCCCCUAAAGCCAAUAAAAUCCCGCUCUGCUGCUGGCAAGUUUACCGUGGACAAAAAAGGAGGACUUCUUAUGCUUUCCCAUGCCAGCACUUCAGACCCUAACCCACUCAUCUGGAUGCUCUCACUGCACCGAGGGGUGCUCCAGGUUUACCCACUGAGUUUCUGUUCUCUGUCAGCCUGCCCAUAGCAACAGCAUUUGAAGUAAUGCGACUUCUUUUUAGCAACAAACCAAACAAACAUUCUUCAGUAUAAUGCAAUGGCAGGUGCAGCACGAAGAUGCUUUCUACUGGUACAGUCCUUCCCCUGCCCUUUGGGGUAAGCAUCCCAGCUGUGCUUGCACGGCCAGUGUACAUUUGGAAGGGCCUUACACUCAGCUGAGACUUUAAGAUGUAUUUAAAUAUAAGCCUCAUUUCUGAA